CGGAGGAAAAGAAACUAACAAGGAUUCCCCCAGUAGCGGCGAGCGAAGCGGGAAGAGCCCGGGAUGAAAAUCUCUUCGGAGAAUUGUAUUCUGAGCAUCUUUGGGUGGUCAGUGUGGGUAAGUCAUCUGAAAAGAUGUGCCGUGGAGGGUGAAAGCCCCGUCCAGCCUGCACAGGAUCCAUCCGUACAAAGGUGUUUCAACCGAGUCGGGUAGAUUGGGAAUUCUGCUCUAAGAUUGGUGGUAAAUCUCAUCAAAGGCUAAAUACUUGUGGGAGACCGAUAGCAAACAAGUACCGUGAGGGAAAGUUUAAAAGAACUUUGAAAAGAGAGUGAAAAGCGCUUGAAACCGUCACGAGGGAAGCGUAUUGCACGAGUGAUAGUGUUUGUUGUUCAGCUUGUCUUAAAGAAUUUUUUUUAAGGCUUGUGUAUUCAGUGUUCACUGCGUAAGCAUGGCUGGUUGGAGUGUGAUUUUCGCACUUUCGGCUGGUGAGGGCUCCCUGUUUAUCAGGUGAGGAUGUUUGCGACAUGUUGCGGUACGACCCGUCUUGAAACACGGACCAAGGAGUCUAGCAUGUCUGCGAGUCGAAGGAUUUUUUUUUAUACAAGUCCAUGGGCGGAGUGAAAGCAAAGUUUUUAAUUAAAACAAUUUGUGGAGGCGUUGCGUUUUUAACAAAAUGUCCUACCUUGAGCACAUAUGCUAGGACCCGAAAGAUGGUGAACUAUGCUGGAGUAGGGCAAAGCCAGAGGAAACUCUGGUGGAGGCUCGUAGCGAUGCUGACGUGCAAAUCGCUCGUCGAACUUGAGUAUAGGGGCGAAAGACUAAUCGAACCAUCUAGUAGCUGGUUCCCUCCGAAGUUUCUCUCAGGAUAGCGGGCCGUCAAUUUUUUUAUGUUUGUUGUUUUGUGUGGUAAAGCGAAUGAUUAGUGCAUGUCGGGGCCGAAGGCCUCGAGGUAAUUCUCAAACUUUAAAUGCGCAAGGGUGUGGCUGCUUUUUUUAAUUUUUUCUUUUGGAGAAAUUAUGAGCCUAUACUUUUAAAAACGACGGCCCUGUGGGCCACUUUUGGUAAGCAGAACUGGCGAUAAGGGAUGAACCUUAAGCGGGGUUAAGGCGCCUAAUUCUCCGCUUAUAGACCCCACAAAAGGUGUUGAUUCAUAUAGACAGCAGGACGGUGGCCAUGGAAGUCGGAAUCCGCUAAGGAGUGUGUAACAACUCACCUGCCGAAUGAAUUAGCCCUGAAAAUGGAUGGCGCUCAAGCGGAGAGCCGACACCCCGCCGUUUGGGCGAGGUAAUUUUUGUCUGAAUGAGUAGGAGGGCGUAUCGGUCAGUGUAGAAGGCGCUGGUGCAAACCUCGCUGGAGCGGCCGUUAGUGCAGAUCUUGGUGGUAGUAGCAAAUAUUCAAGCGAGAUCCUUGAAGGGUGAAGUGGGGAAGGGUUCCACGCGAACAUUGUUUGGGCGUGGGUGAGUCGUUCCUAAGUCGAGUGGCAAUUGCUAAGUAUCGGCGAAAGGGAAGCAGGUUAAAAUUCCUGCGCACGGAUGUAGACUAGCGGCGACGCGAUCAGCGGUGGAGAUGUUGGCGAGCUCACUGGGCAGAGUUUUCUUUUCUGUUUGACCUGCAUUGUGCUGUGUGGAAUCCGAUUAUCGGGAGAAACACGCACGGCGACGGGCAGAGCGUCGGAAUUUUUUCGGCGUCCGGUUCGAGCACGACGACCCUUGAAAAUCCACCUGCGAUAAUAAAUCUACGCUGUGACGUACCGAUAACCGCAUCAGGUCCCCAAGGUGAACAGCCUCUAUCCAAUAUGAACAAUGCAGGUAAGGGAAGUCGGCAAAAUAGAUCCGUAACUUUGGGAAAAGGGUUGGCUCUAGUGGGGUGGAGGUUUUUUGUUUUUCGGAACGAAAGGGGGCUUUUCUGUGCUCGGGACUGGGCGAUUACUUGUGGCUUGGGUUGGUACUCUUUGGGCUGAAUUUUGGGGGGAGGUUUUUUUUUCUGUGGGUUUUGGGUGCUUUGUGGUUUUGGUGCUGGGAGGUUCUUCUCUUUUGCGGGGCUUCUUUGGUAUUUGGGCUGCUUGGUUUCUUUUGCUUUGCAGAGGCUUUCUUCUUUUUUUCUUUGUUCUCAUUUUGUGUUGCCUUGGCUGUGGGUUUUUGCUCGAUUUCUUGUGCGGGGGAUGCAUUCCCGCCUUCGGUAUACCUCAAACUAGAACUGCAACGGACAAAGGGAAUCCGACUGUUUAAUUAAAACAAAGCAUUGCGAAGGCCGUGGCCGGUGUUUACGCAAUGUGAUUUCUGCUCAGUGCUCUGAAUGUCAAAGUGAAGAGAUUCAAAUAAGCGCGGGUAAACAGCGGGAGUAACUAUGACUCUCUUAAGGUAGCCAAAUGCCUCGUCAUCUAAUUAGUGACGCGCAUGAAUGGAUUAACGAGAUUCCUACUGUCCCUAUCUGCUUCUAGCGAAACCACAGCCGAGGGAACGGGCUCGGCGGAAUCGGCGGGGAAAGAAGACCCUGUUGAGCUUGACUCUAUUCUAAUUUUGUGAAGCAAGUUAGGAGGUGUAGUAAUAGGUGGGAGCUUUACGGCGUCCGUGAAAGACCACUACUCUUAAUCUUGCUUUACUUAGGGCGUAAUUCUAUACAUCCGUAAGGUUUGUUUUUUUGAUUCAAGUGUGGGCUGAGGCUUUUCCAGGGAUUUAUUUUUUUGGGGAGGUUUCGUUUAAUGUUUCUGCGCGAAUAGCGCGCCCAACACAUUUAGGAGGGGAGUUUGGCUGGGGCGGCACAUCUUCUACAAGACAACGAAGGUGUCCAAAGAUAAGCUCAGUGAGAACAGAAAUCUCACGUAGCGCAAAAGGGUAAAAGCUUGUUUUAUUAUGAUUUUCAGUGUGAGUUGUAAACGCGAAAGCGUGGCCUAUCGAUCCUUUUAUUAUUCGAGAUUUGAAGCAAGAGGUGUCAGAAAAGUUACCACAGGGAUAACUGGCUUGUGGCGGCCAAGCGUUCAUAGCGACGUCGCUUUUUGA
rnacentral:rRNA from 1 species